CGUAUGCAACCUACCUUAAUCAGGGGGAUAGCCCGAAGAAAUUCGGAUUAACACCGCAUAAAAUCACAGUACAGCAUUGUACAAUGAUCAAAUAUUUAUAGGAUUAAGAUGGGCAUGCGUGACAUUAGUUAGUUGGCGGGGUAACGGCCCACCAAGACCACGAUGUCUAGGGGAUCUGAGAGGAUGACCCCCCACACUGGUACUGAGACACGGACCAGACUCCUACGGGAGGCAGCAGUAAGGAAUAUUGGUCAAUGGAGGCAACUCUGAACCAGCCAUGCCGCGUGCAGGAAGACAGCCCUCUGGGUCGUAAACUGCUUUUAUUCGGGAAUAAACCUACUUACGUGUAAGUAGCUGAAUGUACCGAAGGAAUAAGGAUCGGCUAACUCCGUGCCAGCAGCCGCGGUAAUACGGAGGAUCCAAGCGUUAUCCGGAUUUAUUGGGUUUAAAGGGUGCGUAGGCGGCUUUUUAAGUCAGGGGUGAAAGACGGUGGCUCAACC
rnacentral:rRNA from 1 species